rnacentral:piRNA from 1 species
UGGUCUACAAAUGUCAUACGAUCCAAGAU